UUUUUUAAGGGAAAAUGAUUACUUUAUUAUAUAAUCAUAUUUUCUCUACAUAUUGCACCUCAUUCAUUGUUUUGCGACGACAUUUUUAUUUUACAUACAUAUCUUGUAAAAGAAAAUAAAGAAAACAAUCCUUGCCUUUUAUAUUGCACCUCAUUCAUUGAUUAUUUGGGGACAAAUUUCUUCUACUUAAAUGACACUUAUUUUAAGGUGGUGGGAAUAUAUUUACAGUGACACUCAAACAUAAUGCACUUAGGAACUUGAGGAUUGACACAAGAAAUAGAUGGACAAUCAAUGUCCUCCUUGCAAGUUGGACCUUCGGUAAAACUAGAAAAAGGCUCACGAUAGCCUUUAGUUACAACAAGAAGUAAAGAAAUAAAUAGGAUGAUAACAAAUACGAAAUUGAGAAUUGUAGCCAUAUUUUGUCUCAUUUGCAUAUAAUCAAUGGAAAAUUGCUUUGC
rnacentral:lncRNA from 1 species